CCGGAGAAGGUGGUGUUAAAGGAAAACAUUGAGAAUGGGGAGUGAAGACGAGGGUUUUUCGUAGCAGAAGAUGGAUCUUCGAAAGCCAGGAGGCAGAGGAGAGCAACGCUGUCGGUGAGAUAAAGGGAAGUUUUCAAAAACCUGCUUCUGUAACUAGUGGACAGGUCUUCUGGAUCCAAGGUCACCUGCUGGGGAGAAAGAGAAGCCUUUGGAUAAACAUCACAAGUUUUCCUGGAACAUGGAUUUUAUUUAAGAUUUUUUGGAAAGAAGGGAAUAAGGUUUUUACCUUUGUAAUGUUUUUACAAAUAU
rnacentral:lncRNA from 1 species